rnacentral:lncRNA from 1 species
AAAACGCAUAGAGGAGGAGGACUAUAUAAGGAGACCCCCCUGGCCCCUCGAGAAGACAUGAAGAAAUUAUCAUAGAGACUGAGGGGUGCCCUCGAAGGAAAACCUCUUCUCUAAUUAAUAUUUCUUUUUAGGCUUAGCAACCAAUGUAAGGUAGAAAUAGAUCUUCUAGUUUCUACUAGAUUGAGAGAGAUAGAGUGGAGGUGUAGAUUGGAGGAAGCCCUGUCGGUGUCUACUCCAAGCUUGUACCUGCGGGAUCAAGUUCUCCUAACCCGAAGCUUGCUCCUAGGAUUCUUCAGUAUUUCGACUUCUAAAUUCUAGUAAGUUCUUGUUUUAUUGUUCUUAUGGUUUAUGAGAUUACUUUAAUCUCUUCGCGUAGAGUUUAGAGUAAUCAUUGCUGGCGUAAACGUGGUGUUUAGGCUGGGGUACUCAUAGAUAUUCCCUGACUAGCUGGACCGUGGUAGUAGUGAGGAACGUGACAAUUCCAAGUUACCUUUGCAGAUCACAUCUCGUUAGGAGGAAGGAUAGGGUUUAUAGGUGCGGGUUGAACAUCCUUUGUGGUGUCUAGAUUCCGUUAGCCUCCCCAUUAGAACAGUAGAUCAUCCUUACCAAGGUUAGAAGGAGACUACGGUUGCAGUCUUCUCUAUUUAUCACUCACAUCGAAAGACAUUCUUUGUGCCUAAAGGGUUAGUAGUAAUAGACCGGUUAGUCAGAUGCACUCUUUCUCCUAGUGGUAAAAAAAUAAAUACGAUACUCUGGAUAAUUUCCCGGGUGAAGUGCUCACCGAUAUCCGUGCGCUUGCGGAUCAAUUCCUUAUUGCGUUCCCAAAUAUCAACACCUGCGUCCGCCUUGCUCACUCCACCUCGCCCCCUUCGCCUCUGCCUCUCUCUGUUGCCUCUUGGAUAUGGGGAAGGGGAAUGGUAAGUGGAUGGGGUCACGGGGAGGUCAAGCCGUCAGAAGUAGGUCAUGGGUGCGUGUGCCUAGCUCCCUCCACAUCCAACUGGGCUGGCCCAUUUACAUCAUAGAUUUUUUUAAUUAAGUCCACAAUUUUUUGUUCUUUUUUUAUUCUUUUCAUAAAUGACCAUUUAACCAGUACCAAUUCCAAAUUACAAAUAAUUUCGUUCUACUUAUUUUUUGUAUACUAUAUUACACAUACUUACGCUUAUUUUCAAACUAUUACAUUUAUACAUUUUUUACUACUACUACUAAUACGACCUAGUAAUACAACUACAACUACAUUACUACCGCUACUACUACUACUACUACUACUACUACUACUACUACUACUACUACUACUACUACUACUACUACUACUACUACUACUACUACUACUACUACUACUACUACUACUACUACAACAACAACUUCUACUUUAUGUGAGAGCAUAUUGGGCACAACUGGAGGAAGAAGAGUAUUUUCUUUGAGCUUCCUUACUGGAAAAAAUUGCUUAUUAGGCACAACUUGGAUUUGCUCUUACUACUACUCUUCUUCCAUAUUGUACCCUCUAGAUUUGCUCUUACUUGCAGGGACAGGGACAUCAAACCAGUCGCAUUGAAACAACAUUAUUUCAUUCUCACCCUCUAGUGGUAGGUGGUGGUUCUACUACUACUAAUACUUAGUAGUAGUAGUAGUAGUAGUAGUAGUAGUAGU